AAUGCCGAUGACUUUCCAUUGCUCGCCGAAGAGCUUUUACAUUCAUACAACCCAGGCUGCCCAGGUUGUAGUGGUCGAGGGCCAAGAGCCUUAGGGCUUUGCCACAUCCCAUUUCGGCCAUUCAAACCCUUGUAACAAGGGUGACAGGCAGUGCUUCUAGAGAAGCCCAGUGACGGUUGAUGGUACUGCCAUUUUAAAGAGAGGACCCAAGAUUUGAUGAAGGGUGCUCAUGUCACUUUUGAACCGUAUGGUUUUGAUCGAACUUCGAUCGAUAAUUUUCUGACAUUAGUUGCAUUCCUUAAAAAGCUUGGAGAUGGAGGAAGCCAUUGUAAGGGAAUGCGAAAUGAAAGGAGAUUUUCUAGGUUGGGAGAUUUGAAGACGCAGAUCCGGAGGGAAGGAGUGCACCAGAGAGCGAUGGCAAGAAUUUCAGAAAAUUUGAAAGCGUAAAGUACAAAUGAGAGAGUUUCGGUAUUUAUAGGACGGUGGAAGGAAGGGUAAUCAUUCGAAAUUCAAAAUGAAGGGUAAAAUCGACUGAGAAAUUCGCUAAUCAUUAUGAACAUUUGGAAAAUCCAGUUGAGAAGAACGAGGGUU
rnacentral:lncRNA from 1 species